rnacentral:rRNA from 1 species
AUACAGAGGGUGCAAGCGUUAAUCGGAUUUACUGGGCGUAAAGCGCGCGUAGGUGGCUAAUUAAGUCAAAUGUGAAAUCCCCGAGCUUAACUUGGGAAUUGCAUUCGAUACUGGUUAGCUAGAGUAUGGGAGAGGAUGGUAGAAUUCCAGGUGUAGCGGUGAAAUGCGUAGAGAUCUGGAGGAAUACCGAUGGCGAAGGCAGCCAUCUGGCCUAAUACUGACACGGAAGUGCGAAAGCAUGGGGAGCAAACAGGAUUAGAUACCCUGGUAGUCCAUGCCGUAAACGAUGUCUACUAGCCGUUGGGGCCCUUGAGGCUUUAGUGGCGCAGCUAACGCGAUAAGUAGACCGCCUGGGGAGUACGGUCGCAAGACUAAAACUCAAAUGAAUUGACGGGG